GGCCAUGCAAAGCCUGGUCAGAAAAGAGACCAUAGUGCAAACUGCAGGACAGGGCACCUCUGAUUCCUUUAAAAUUAACAAGAAACCAACAGCUGAGAAAAGUGGGAGGAUAAGAGCAAAGAGGAAAAUGGAUGCAGAAAAAAAGUCAGCAAGCAAAAGGCCUAAACCAGCAAGAAAACAUAAUAAAGCAGGGCAAAAACAGCAACUGAAAAGGGCCACAACUGCAGUUCUGAGCCC